CUUUUCACAUGAACUUCACCUUUUCUUCUUCUUCCAGUUUACUAUCGAUCUUUGUGCUUCUGGAGCUCUUCAAAAAACAUAUUCGAGGAUCACAGAGUGAAGUUUGAUCUUAAAAGAGUUUCCAGCGUCUCCAGCUAACUAGCUUUAGCCUCGGACGACAACAGGAAACAGCUCUUCUUCGUUGGAGUCUAAUGACGGUGACGAACUUAUCGUUGCAUUACCGCCACCUACUGGACUGG